rnacentral:rRNA from 1 species
GAUGAACGCUAGCGGCAGGCCUAACACAUGCAAGUCGAGGGGUAGAACACUUCGGUGUUUGAGACCGGCGCACGGGUGCGUAACGCGUAUGCAAUCUACCUUGUACAGGGGGAAUAGCCCAGAGAAAUUUGGAUUAAUGCCCCAUAGUAUAUAACCUUCGCAUGUUGGUUAUAUUAAAGUUCCAACGGUACAAGAUGAGCAUGCGUCCCAUUAGUUAGUUGGUAAGGUAACGGCUUACCAAGACGAUGAUGGGUAGGGGUCCUGAGAGGGAGAUCCCCCACACUGGUACUGAGACACGGACCAGACUCCUACGGGAGGCAGCAGUGAGGAAUAUUGGUCAAUGGUCGCAAGACUGAACCAGCCAUGCCGCGUGCAGGAAGACGGUCCUAUGGAUUGUAAACUGCUUUUGUACGGAACGAAAAGGCUCUGGUUAAUACCUGGGGCUCAUGACGGUACCGUAAGAAUAAGCACCGGCUAACUACGUGCCAGCAGCCGCGGUAAAACGUCUA